rnacentral:lncRNA from 10 species
CAGGAUUCUGCCACAGGACUUUUGGAGCAAAUUGAUGCCCCUGAACACAGAAUGAGUGACCUGGAAGACGAUGCCAAAGACACUUCCUCCUGCCCCGUUCUUAGCAGAUGAUGUGGCUUCCUCCUUCUGUGACGCACUGCAGCAGCCCCUCCUCGAGGUCCAGAGCCCUAGGCCUUCCAUGCUCCCAGGCUCAGUACUAGACUCCUGGUCACCCCAACAUCUUUAUUUUUGCCUCCCUGCUCUGGGGGUUGUAGCUUCUUCCUUCACCAACUCUGUUACUUCAGUAUCCCUUUUGCACUUUCAGCCCUCAAACCCCAAGUAAAUACGCUUUCACUUCCCUU